UUCAACACCGAAGAGGUGGGAGUGUCAGAUACAUGCGGCGUUGGUUCCUCCUCCGCCACCAAAGAAGAAGCCAUUUUCGUUUGGAAGAAAGAAAAAAGUGGCUCCCAAAAAUGGUUACUUUUAUCCACCUGAAGAUGAUCUCGAGAAACUCUUCUCUAUUUUGAAUGCAACUCCUAACUCUAGUUAACCUAUAUACUAGGGUAUAAGAUCAUAGUUAGGUAUUUUUGUGGAGAAAACCG
rnacentral:lncRNA from 1 species